CGCGGGGUGGAGCAGCUCGGUAGCUCGCUGGGCUCAUAACCCAGAGGUCGUCGGUUCGAAUCCGGCCCCCGCUACAA
rnacentral:tRNA from 2 species